rnacentral:rRNA from 1 species
AGAGUUUGAUCCUGGCUCAGAACGAACGCUGGCGGCAGGCUUAACACAUGCAAGUCGAACGCCCCGCAAGGGGAGUGGCAGACGGGUGAGUAACGCGUGGGAAUCUACCCUUUACUACGGAAUAACGCAUGGAAACGUGUGCUAAUACCGUAUGUGUCCUUCGGGAGAAAGAUUUAUCGGUAAAGGAUGAGCCCGCGUUGGAUUAGCUAGUUGGUGGGGUAAAGGCCUACCAAGGCGACGAUCCAUAGCUGGUCUGAGAGGAUGAUCAGCCACAUUGGGACUGAGACACGGCCCAAACUCCUACGGGAGGCAGCAGUGGGGAAUAUUGGACAAUGGGCGCAAGCCUGAUCCAGCCAUGCCGCGUGAGUGAUGAAGGCCCUAGGGUUGUAAAGCUCUUUCACCGGAGAAGAUAAUGACGGAUCCGAGAAGAG